CUGGAUUUCGGAACAAAUUGACUUCUGUGUAACAUAGGCUAUACAGAUUGUGCAGCAUGCAGACAACGAUCACGUUUAUUUAUAAAUAACACAAGAUUACUGCCAAUAAAUAGAAAACGAAUGAGGAUCGUGGCGGACACACGAAUUGUUAAAUUGACGCAGCUCGACGUUGAUUUACCAACAUCCGGAGGAAUUGCAAGAAGACAAGGAAUUGCUUGAAACUGAAGCUCAGUAUCUCAGAAGAAAGAUUAAUGAAAUGAAAAAAGCAAGCUUAAAAUCAAUAUGGAACUGAAAGCUUCUAAAACUGAGGAAUUGCAAGAAGGCAAGGAAUUGCUUGAAACUGAAGCUCAGUAUCUCAGAAGAAAGAUUAAUGAAAUGAAAAAAGCAAGCUUAAAAUCAAUAUGGAACUGAAAGCUUCUAAAACUGAGGAAUUGCAAGAAGGCAAGGAAUUGCUUGAAACUGAAGGUCAGUAUCUCAAAAGAAAGAUCAAUGAAAUGAAAAAGCAAGUUGGAAAAUCGGUAUGGAUUUGAAAGCUUCUAAAACUAGCCUGCUGAAUACAAAGAUUGCGUCCCAAAAUAACACUGAGACGAUUGCGGCCGAAGAUCACACUGAAACGAUUGCGGCCCAAGAUUACACUGAGACAAUGGUUACAAAGAAAAUGAUAAGAUGGAACUAAAAUCGAAACAGACAAAUCGUGUUGGAGUGGUAGUAAAUUCUAACGAUUAUGCUUCAUAAAUGUAUUCAUGUCACAUAAAAAUGAAUAAUUAUCUGUUAUUCUGAUAUACAAAUUAAUAAAUACAUGUGGAAACGAGCAGUGUUUAAUAAUUAUAAUAUAUGCACCUUUGAUUUGAUAGAACCAUUUUAAUACUUUGACGUUAUAGUGUUAAUGUUAGCUAGCAUAGAUUCAUUCAUUCAUUCAAUAUUAUAUUCCCAUCUCACCUUUUUAAAAAUUACAUACAUGUUCUAUAAAAAUAUAAAAUAAUAUACAUAAUAUUUUAAAAAACACUCAAUACAGAGUUAUGAGAGGCGAUAAUAUUAUACAAAUAAAUAAACAUUAAAAUGCAAGAUAAAAAAUGAAAUAUAAUAGUUAUAACUUUUCAAAUAAAUAACUUUUUCUUUUAAAAUCUGUGCACAGGUUUUGGCACAAGAUCGCAUAAUAAAAUUGUUGGAAAUAAAAAUAUCAUUUUAUCAUGACAACUAAAAUUACUAAAAUUAUCAUUAAUUACCGCAGCGUUGUUAAAUAAAAAAUUUCAUAUACAUUUAGAGUUCAUACAUAUAGUGUCUUUAGUACAUAUAAUUAUGUAUUAUAGUGAUUUUGUAUUUUCCAGGAAACGGGGGGGGGGGGGGGGGGGCACAAGCCACAGU
rnacentral:lncRNA from 1 species